UAACAACGAGGUCAGAAAGGCCCCUGACGCACCUCUUAGAGGUAACUGAGAUGUUGGAUACGCCGCCCAACCGUUUGUUA
ncrna:unclassified sequences skipping-rope RNA